rnacentral:rRNA from 1 species
AAGGAUGAAAAUCGGACUUAGUGAUCCGGUGGUUCUGCGUGGAAGGGCCAUCGCUCAACGGAUAAAAGCUACCCUGGGGAUAACAGGCUUAUCGCCCCCAAGAGUCCACAUCGACGGGGAGGUUUGGAACCUCGAUGUCGGCUCAUCACAUCCUGGGGCUGUAGUAGGUCCCAAGGGUUGGGCUGUUCGCCCAUUAAAGGGGUACGCGAGCUGGGUUCAGAACGUCGUGAGACAGUUCGGUCCCUAUCCGUCGCAGGCGUAGGAAAUUUGAGAAGACC